UUGACGGGGCCCGCACAAGCGGUGGAGCAUGUGGUUUAAUUCGAAGCAACGCGAAGAACCUUACCAGGUCUUGACAUCCCCUGACAACCCGAGAGAUCGGGCGUUCCCCUUCGGGGGACAGGGUGACAGGUGGUGCAUGGUUGUCGUCAGCUCGUGUCGUGAGAUGUUGGGUUAAGUCCCGCAACGAGCGCAACCCUCGACCUUAGUUGCCAGCAUUCAGUUGGGCACUCUAGCGAGACUGCCGGUAAUAAACCGGAGGAAGUGGGAUGACGUCAAAUCAUCAUGCCCCUUAUGACCUGGGCUACACACGUGCUACAAUGGUUGGUACAACGAGUUGCGAGUCGGUGACGGCGAGCUAAUCUCUUAAAGCCAAUCUCAGUUCGGAUUGUAGGCUGCAACUCGCCUACAUGAAGUCGGAAUCGCUAGUAAUCGCGGAUCAGCACGCCGCGGUGAAUACGUUCCCGGGCCUU
rnacentral:rRNA from 1 species